CCCUUAGAUGUUCUGGGCCGCACGCGCGCUACACUGAUGCAUUCAACGAGUUUCUUCCUGGUCCGAGAGGAAUGGGUAACCUUUUGAAAGUGCAUCGUGAUAGGGAUAGACUAUUGCAAUUAUUGGUCUUCAACGAGGAAUUCCUAGUAGACGUAGUUCAUCAGACUGCAUCGAUUACGUCCCUGCCCUUUGUACACACCGCCCGUCGCUCCUACCGAUUGAAUGCUCAGGUGAGCCAUUCGGACUUUCAUCAUGCUGGUUUCCAGUUUUGAUGAAGGAAAGUCAUGCGAACCUUAUCAUUUAGAGGAAGGAGAAGUCGUAACA
rnacentral:rRNA from 1 species